UCCGUUGGAAUACCUGAUCUCUGAUUGCCAUGUCCAAGAAGUUGUAACAAAGCAAUGAAGUUCUUGUUUCAGUUCCCUUGUUGCUCGUGCUUCUGCUUCAUGAAGACCAAAAAGAGAAAGCCCAAGAAGAAGGAAGGCAAGGGCGAUUGAAAGAAUGUAAGUCUUUGCUUAUGUUCGGCUGUACUGUACAAUAAUGUAAAUGGCUGUCCAUACCUGCGUUUGAGGCUCUCUUGGCAGUAAUCAUCAAUUGUGGCUAUCUGUUUAGCUGAAGUGUAAAAAAUGGCAUGAUAUCUUCUUUUCAAUAAUGAUGCUUUACUUGUUAGUUUCUUUCGUCUUUCUCGAUCACUUCCUUGUUGAGAAUACCAUCUCCUCCAUUCGUUGUUCAGCUGAUUCCAGACCAAUCUGUGCAAGAAAGCUGCCAAAAACAAAGAUCAUUAAAGGUAAGGGAACAUUACAAAAAAGUUUUUAUCUACUGCACAGGUUUAUCCAGUCCGGAAUUACGGAUAGUUUCUGAAGAAAAUUCAGUUUAUCCAUGUGAUCCACUGAAAAAGGAAAGAAUAGGUUUUAAUCUCCAAUUACAAAGGUGCAUCUCAAUUAAAUAAUUCAGAUUCUUCCAGAGGAAGAAGGUUUGCAUAAAUAUGAAGCAGAAAACCUGGCCUCUAUGAAAGGCAGAGGAAGUAAAGUAUUACUGAACAGAGUGAAGAGUGUCAACUGUAAUUAUAUAGUCCAAGAUGCAGAGAGUACAAGGAGGUUUCCAGUAAAGCUAAUGAUCGAUAUAUCUCUUCAAGCAACGAAUAGUAAGUUCAAGCAGUUUGCUUUCAAGAAAGAUCAAAUACAAGUCAUCCAAGACCAGUUACCAUGAUCAUCCAUCCUGUAUCCUUUAAAUUCUGCAAUUUAACCACAGGUCUAUUGAUCCACAAUGCACCUUAAGCCUUUCUUUAGAAGAAGAUUAGCGACCUAAACUGAAGAAGGAUAUUGACAGAUCAUUUAUUGAAGUAUGGAUACAGGAUUAUCAUAACUUCUUCCUAUGAAGAAAUCCUAACACAGACUAGCUCCAUGUCAAUUACUUAGCAAAGAAAACACAAAUGAUAGCACUUUGUGACCAGAAAGUGAAGUCAUUUGCAUCUAACAUAUAGAGCCUAGUAAAUGCAGGCUUCCACUGUUGUUACCAAAUGCAGGUUAUUGCUUGAUUUCUCAGGACACACACACACAACAAAAAAAAAAAAGCAGAGAGAGAAGAGAGAGAGAGCAGAUGAUUUGGUAAAAAAAUUCUGCACACCAGAGUUAAAAUUAUGUACACUUAAUUUGAAGGAAGAAUUAGUUAAUUUUAAGGGAGAAAUACAUCUGCAUGAAUCCAGAAGCUUCACAAACCUGCGGUCAUGAACAGUACACCAUGCUGUCUCUGAUCAUUCCGCAUGAGAGAAAAUAUUUAAUCAUAGCCUCAAGCACUUUUUUGUACAAGUACUGUGUGGUCACGGAGC
rnacentral:lncRNA from 1 species